CCACCGCCACCGAGCUGUGAAGACAUCAUCAUUUCAUGUAUAAUCUUUUGUACAGAACUCUGAGAGUCAUUAGCAUCCACGUCAUUUGAAUGGGCUGGUUGCUGCAUUGAUAUUUUGGGGGAAUUUGCAGAGUUCAUGUGUUGCACUGAUGAUAAGCCACUGUGUGAAGCUUGUGGUGUAUUGUUGGAUGACGAUGGUGUUGGAGAUUGGAAUUGAGAAGAGUUGGGUUGAGACUGAGGCAUUGUACUUGAAGAAUUGGGUGAAGGCAUUUGGACAGCAUUUCCUGAGUAGGUACUACUUCCACCAUUCACUGGAUUUUGUUGCCUGGAGUUCAUGGAAUUUUGGUGCAGUAAUCCAACAACUGUACCACUAGACGAAGUAGCAGCUACUUGGUUCACAGAAUUGUUUACAUUCGACAUACCAUUGCUCAAAGGUAGAGGCGGUACACCAGGCUGUGAAGUCGUCUCAUGGUUCGAGCUACUGACUGUUUGAUGUGUAUGUUGU